rnacentral:ncRNA from 1 species
AACUCGCUGUGAAGAUGCAGUGUACCCGCGGCAAGACGGAAAGACCCCGUGAACCUUUACUAUAGCUUGACACUGAACAUUGAGCCUUGAUGUGUAGGAUAGGUGGGAGGCUUUGAAGUGUGGACGCCAGUCUGCAUGGAGCCAACCUUGAAAUACCACCCUUUAAUGUUUGAUGUUCUAACGUCGUCCCGUUAUCCGGGAUGCGGACAGUGUCUGGUGGGUAGUUUGACUGGGGCGGUCUCCUCCCAAAGCGUAACGGAGGAGCACGAAGGUUGGCUAAGCAUGGUCGGACAUCAUGCGGUUAGUGCAAAGGCAUAAGCCAGCUUGACUGCGAGAGUGACAACUCGAGCAGGUACGAAAGUAGGUCUUAGUGAUCCGGUGGUUCUGAAUGGAAGGGCCAUCGCUCAACGGAUAAAAGGUACUCCGGGGAUAACAGGCUGAUACCGCCCAAGAGUUCAUAUCGACGGCGGUGUUUGGCACCUCGAUGUCGGCUCAUCACAUCCUGGGGCUGAAGUAGGUCCCAAGGGUAUGGCUGUUCGCCAUUUAAAGUGGUACGCGAGCUGGGUUUAGAACGUCGUGAGACAGUUCGGUCCCUAUCUGCCGUGGGCGUUGGAAGAUUGAAAGGGGCUGCUCCUAGUACGAGAGGACCGGAGUGGACGCACCACUGGUGUUCGGGUUGUCAUGCCAAUGGCAUUGCCCGGUAGCUAAGUGCGGAAGAGAUAACCGCUGAAAGCAUCUAAGCGGGAAACUUGCCUUGAGAUGAGUCUUCCCUGACUCUUUAAGAGUCCUAAAGGAACGUUUAAGACUAAGACGUUGAUAGGUUGGGUGUGUAAGCGUAGCGAUACGUUGAGCUAACCAAUACUAAUGAACCGU